rnacentral:snRNA from 1 species
GUGCUUGCUUCAGUGGCACAUAUAGUAAAAUUGGAAUGGUACAGAGAAGAUUAACAUGGCCCCUGCACAAGGAUGAUGUGAAAAUUCAUGAAGGGUUCCACAUUUUU